UUAGGUGCUGAUGAUAUAAGAAAUUUCAACAAUUUAAGUCGACCCCCUGUUCUUCCACCCCGUCAAGUUAAUAACUUUACUUGCUCUCCUCGCUUGCCUCCACCGAGAAAGUAAGUAUUACGGAAGAGUUAUCGUUAUUAAUCGAUAAUCGUUCAUAAUGUGAAAAACGAUUACUAUUACUAUUAUUGUUAUU
rnacentral:lncRNA from 1 species